GGGAAGUUUUUCCAUAUUAGAUUCAUUAAAACGUCUAAUAUUAAUAAACUUAUAGAAAGAAAAAAAAAAAACUUUUAAAAUCAUUUAGGGAAAAAGUUAUUUUCGGCAAAGGGCAUCCUGAAUUUUCGGUUUCAGCCCAGAAUUUUAAUUUCGGUGCAUCCCUAAGACAAUCAGCAAUUUUAUUUAGGACAGUAUAUUGCAAGGGCUGUUUUCUAUCAUAAUUUGAGCAAAAUAUACAAGCAUGAAAUGUCAAACAAGUUGGUCAUUUAUUUGGGAUGUUCUGGCAUGUGUACAGAUUUUCUUUUAGCAAAUUACUGUAAUUAUAUGUAGACCAACUAUGAUAACACUAUCACAUAUGUCUGCUCGUAGGACUGUAGUUUGCCAAAGUAGUCUAAAG